rnacentral:lncRNA from 1 species
AAAACAAAAUACCUCUCCAAUAUAAACUGAUAAAAAAUGCUCAUUAUACACUAUACAUUCAAUAUGGGUGACCAGCAAAAGUUGUGUCCACCUUGAAUCGAAAAAAUAAUGUGGUAGAAAAGGUCAAAAUUCACAUGGAAAAAAAAUAUAAAAAUCAAGCUAAUAAAAUAAUAGUACAACAGAGCUUAUCGUGAUACUAAUGCAUGCCGCACACAUUUUUAUCUAGUCACAACAUUACAUACCUACAAACAACAAACUGGCCAAAAGAUAAAAAUGAAACAAGACUUCGUACUAGUACUCCAUCCCAUCAAAACGCUUUCCAACUAUCAGAAUCUCUCCUUGGUGUCUGACUCUCGGCCGACGUCUUAAAUGGGUCAUUUGAACCAAAUGGAUCGGCAUCAUCAAAUGAUGUGAAACCAUGACCAUGAUCUGUGUCCCUGGUACUACUCAUGGAAUCAAACCUACUUAGUGAUUCGCGAGGAGGAAAGAGCCCAAAAUUAUAGUCAGAGUCUGCGGUGCUGCGAAAUGAAUCGAACCUAGCAAAUGAGUCCCGUUGCUGGAAUGAACCAUGAUCGUAGUCAGAGUCUCUGGUGCUGUGCAUUGAAUCAAAUCUUGAAAGAGAGUCACGAGUGCCAAAGGGGCCACUAUCAUUCAUGUUAAAGGAGUCAAAUCUGGAGAAGCUGUUCGAGUUUUCUUCAAACCCUUCACUAUGUCUUCGAGGCGAGUUUGUAGAACUGUACAUAGGUGUGCUAGGAACUGAGUCCCCGAAGGCAAACGGACUCUUAUUCUGGAACAUAUUAUCUGCAUUCGGGGAGCCUCCUGAAUUAUAAGCUGGUGUGCUAGGAACAGAAUCAAAUAAGGGACUUUGCCUCGAGAACAAGGUAUCAGUCUGAGUGAAUCCAGAGUUGUAACUUGGGGUGCUUGGAACAGAAUCAAAGAAAGGGCUUUGCUUCGGUAACGUGUUGUCUGAAUAACUGAAUCCAGCAUUGUAACUUGGAGUGCUAGGAACAGAAUCAAAGAAAGGGCUUUGCUUAGGGAACGUGUUGUCUAACCCAGCAUUGUAACUUGGCGUGCUAGGAACAGAAUCAAAGGAUGGCAUUUGAUUCGGUAGUGUGUUGAUGGACUGUUUGGACCCCGUUUUAAUAGGGGCUAAGCCCCAAUCGUCAUCUCCAAAAAGAGAAGAUUCCUUGAAAUUGUCAUGAUCAGAAUCCUGCAUA